CUAUAGAACACUAUACAACCCUAUAGAACGCCAUAUAACCCUACAGAACGCCAUACAACCCUAUAGAACACUAUAUAACCCUAUAGAACGCUAUACAACCCUAUAGAACGCUAUAGGACGACAUAUCGCGAUACCUCCCGAUAUCACCAACCGAUCCCGCAGCCGCGUUAAUAACCGUUAUCAAUAUGCAAAUGAGGCCGCAUCGAUCGCGAUCCUCAAUCCCCAUUGGUUCCUAUCGCGAUAGGAGCCCCUCCCCCCCCCAAAACCCCCUUUUUGGGGUGAAAAACGGAGGUUUUGGGGCUCACCAGAGGUCGGAAGCGGAAGGGAACAGAGGUGGAGGCCACGCCCCCUCGUGACGUGAUGACGUCACCGGUGACGCAAGGGGGAGGGGCUUUGACGAGGUUGGGGCCGCGCCCCUUCCCUAUGGGAGCCAAUGGAGGUCUCUAUGGGUUAUUGAAGGCACGGCCCCUUUAAGCCCCGACCGGAAGUCGCCGCCGAUGACGUCACUUCCGCCCCGGAAGCGCCGCCUGCGCCGAGCGCUCUGAGGCCUCCGCCCAUUGCCCAAUGGCCAAGCGCUCCGUGACCUUUGCUGACCUCGAGGGGGAGGGGCCAGAGGAGGAACCGCCCCUCCCCCCCCGCAAGAGGGCCAUGAGCCGCUUCCCAGGGCAGCCCUCAUUGGACAGUGAUGAGGAAGAGGAGGACGAGGAUGAGGCCGAAGGAAGCAGCGACUUCAACCUCUUCCUGCCCCACGGUUCAGAGGAGUCACCGGAAGGGGCGGGGCCAGAGGAGGGGGAGGGGCCCGUGACGCCCUUUGACCUCGGGCCCGAAUUGGCCGAGGGGCACUUUGACCCCGCGGGUCACUUCCUGUGGCAUCCGGCUCCGCCCCCUGACCCCUGGCUGGAGGCCAUUGAGGGGGGGAAGUGCUGUGGGAAUACGUGUGGGAAGAGGGGGGGGAGGUGUUCGGGCCCUUCAGCAGCAGCCAGAUGCAGGAGUGGGCCUCCCAGGGUUACUUCCAGGGGGGCGGGGCCAGGUGCCGGCGCGUGCGGCCCCUCCCCCACCCGCCGGGUCCCUUCUACGACUGCGCGCGGGUGGACUUCGAGCUGUUCACGUGACCCACCCCGAGGGGGGCGGGGCCUGAGGAGGGGGCGGGGCUUGAGGAGGGGUCGUGACCUCAAUGGGG
rnacentral:lncRNA from 1 species